CUCCCAUUGUGUUUCUAAGCCUGAGAAUAUGCAUGACUCCUGUGAGUGGGUCCUUUACGUGGGUGCUUUCAGAGCUGCUCAGAUGAAGUGUACCCAGGACAGAGCAAACGGGCACUGUGGUGGAAUUACAUUCUGGAGAACACGUGAAUAAAUCUACCUAGAGAGAAAACUGAACAUCCAGACUGGUCUUCUGCAGCAGCUGCCAAAGGCAUUUGGCUUGCAUGGAGAAAAAUGAGUUGAUGUGCUAGAAGAGGGUCUGUUUUGUAGAACAAUGACAGCAGCAAUUCAAGGGAUGAAUCUCAGAUGUUCACCGAGAUGUGCUUCAUGCUUCUUCUGCCAGCUAACCGUAUGUCAGGAGCAUAUCCUUCGCCUGGCCCAGCAGGGAUUUACUGGCAGGAUGGAGUCUGAGAGAACUGGACUGGCUGGCUGGAGCAGUUAUGCAAGGAAAAUGAGAAGCUAAAUAUCCAAUAAAUGUGAUAUAAAAUGCUGUCCAGAGAUUGGAGGUCAGAAGAGCCAGCAGGCACAGACGGGGUUGUGGGACUGCCAAAGACAACUGACUGCGUUCAAGGUGUCCAAUCAUAGCCAGUGUCUGACUGGAGUUGCUUUGUCUGAAAUACUCAGGCUAACAAAGGAGGAACCAUUACAGCCUAUUACAUGUGAAAGGAACUUUUGCUGGACUCAGUAAGUGGCCCAAUUUGUCCAAGAACUCCACCAAAGUAUCCUAAGUGGAUUCUUAGGGCUGCCCGGUAGACUCUGGAUGGCUCCCCUGCUAUGUCUCCUUUGUUUAAUCCUCUUAUUGGAAAUUUCUCCUCAAGUAUUCAUUUCAGUUUGGUUAUUAGCAUCAUUUCGGUCUCACCUCUGUUGCAAUCCGUUAUCCCUGAUUUACUGGGAAAAGUGAAGCAUCAACAUACUGAAGAUGGGUCUGUGAGGGAUUAUUUCAUUUUAUAUUUAUACUGAACUUUUUAAAGGGAACAUUUUAUACUUGGGAAUUAAACUUACUGAUGCUGGUAAAAAUAAUAGCACCUCUAGUGGUAUUCUGUAUGGCUAGUGUAUGUACUGAUAAUUCCCUGAUGUAAACUGAUGUACAGGAAUCGGUGUAACUUUCAUCUCUCUGACACAAAAAUCAGGCUGAUAAAAUUCGAAAGUAGAAAAUGGGAACUACAUCGAGGUGUUCACCAAAGGUUCAGUCUCUGCAAACAAGAUGCCGUAGGCACUCAUGAAAAAUGUAGCCUCUCUGACUCUCUUUGCCCAGUAGGGUCAUGUCCAGAUCCUUUCACC